rnacentral:lncRNA from 14 species
AGAAGCAAACCUCUUCUGCUCUCGCCUGCCAAAGAAAUCAAUCACACAGCCCCAGAGAGCUCAGCGUUAUAUACCAUUGUGCACUGCUGGGCAUAGAAAGCACAGCCUCUCUGCAUGAAUGACACUUUCAGUCUCCAAGUGGUGUUUGCACCGAGAGGAUCCAUAGAGAUAAAGAAGAUAAACAGGUUGG